GGGGGGGUCCGCCGCGGCCCGGCAGCCCGCUCGCCUCGUCGGAGAACGAGGGGAAGUCAAACAACUGCCCCGCCGGUGCGGUGACAGAGCCGCGCCGGGUCUCGGAAAAGCCUAAGCGCCGAGCUGACGCCGUCUGAGGAACGGCCGUUAUUUCCACAGGCCCCGCGCCCCGGCUCCGGGGACAGCAGUGCUUCCAGCUUCCCCCCACAGUAACGCGGCUCCCCAGCCGAAGGAAAGCCGCGGUAAAUAUCAAAAAUAAAGCACCAGAAGCGCUGCGCGACGUGCCGUGCUGCCAGGGCCCCGCGGCUGCCCGCUCUGCGCUCGAGAUCGCUCGCCUUGGGCUGCGCGCGGCUGGCCAGCAGCACCUGCUGCUGGCUUCCUCGGCACGAGGUAAGGACCGAGCGGCUUCUGGCACUCUCCGAGCACCUUCACGGCUGGUUUCACACGCCCGCGCAGGGCCGUCAGGCACGCGCCCCGUGCCAGAGGCUACCCAGCCUCCGAAGGCCUGGGCGCCGGUGCCCGUCGUCAGUAGCCUCAGGCAAUCCUGACUGCGGUUCUGCAAAUGAUUUUGUGUAUAUCUGAUUCUCCUGUUACUUAGCACAAAUAAAUGCAUCAACUUUUCAACCUA